UGCCUGUCCCAUUGAUCUUCAUUACUGGC
rnacentral:piRNA from 1 species